GAAGCAUAAGAUGCAGAUUUGUUCUCUUCAGAUCCAUCGAAGUGUCUCCCACCAGGCAUCAUCAGCAUUCUUGGAUGAGGAAGCAACGCCCCAGUUACAUCACCCCACCAAUCAGGAUUCUGAAUGUACCACUCCAUAGUCUUCUUCAAGCCCUCCUCCCAAAUUGUUCGUUCUGACCAUCCUAAGAUCUUCAGCUUCUGAUCAUCAAGAAAGUACCUCUGGUCAUUGAAUGGCCUGUUAUCUACAAACUUAAUGUUUGUCUCAGGGUUCAUUGAGAAAAGCUUGCAUAUAUCUUUAGCCACAUCUAUCACUCUUCUUUCCUUCUU
rnacentral:misc_RNA from 1 species